GACGAACGCUGGCGGCGUGCUUAACACAUGCAAGUCGAACGGAAAGGCCCUGCUUUUGUGGGGUGCUCGAGUGGCGAACGGGUGAGUAACACGUGAGUAACCUGCCCUUGACUUUGGGAUAAUUUCAGGAAACUGGGGCUAAUACCGGAUAGGAGCUCCUGCUGCAUGGUGGGGGUUGGAAAGUUUCGGCGGUUGGGGAUGGACUCGCGGCUUAUCAGCUUGUUGGUGGGGUAGUGGCUUACCAAGGCUUUGACGGGUAGCCGGCCUGAGAGGGUGACCGGCCACAUUGGGACUGCGAUACGGCCCAGACUCCUACGGGAGGCAGCAGUGGGGAAUAUUGCACAAUGGGCGGAAGCCUGAUGCAGCAACGCCGCGUGCGGGAUGACGGCCUUCGGGUUGUAAACCGCUUUCGCCUGUGACGAAGCGUGAGUGACGGUAAUGGGUAAAGAAGCACCGGCUAACUACGUG
rnacentral:rRNA from 1 species